rnacentral:rRNA from 1 species
GAUGAACGCUGGCGGCGUGCUUAACACAUGCAAGUCGAACGGAAAGGCCCAAGCUUGCUUGGGUACUCGAGUGGCGAACGGGUGAGUAACACGUGGGUGAUCUGCCCUGCACUUCGGGAUAAGCCUGGGAAACUGGGUCUAAUACCGGAUAGGACCACAUUUUGGAUAGUGUGGUGGAAAGUUUUUCGGUGUGGGAUGAGCUCGCGGCCUAUCAGCUUGUUGGUGGGGUAAUGGCCUACCAAGGCGUCGACGGGUAGCCGGCCUGAGAGGGUGUACGGCCACAUUGGGACUGAGAUACGGCCCAGACUCCUACGGGAGGCAGCAGUGGGGAAUAUUGCACGAUGGGCGCAAGCCUGAUGCAGCGACGCCGCGUGGGGGAUGACGGCCUUCGGGUUGUAAACUCCUUUCGCUAGGGACGAAGCGCAAGUGACGGUACCUGGAGAAGAAGCACCGGCUAACUACGUG